rnacentral:rRNA from 4 species
GGGUUGUGAGGUUAAGCGACUAAGCGUACACGGUGGAUGCCCUGGCAGUCAGAGGCGAUGAAGGACGUGCUAAUCUGCGAUAAGCGCCGGUAAGGUGAUAUGAACCGUUAUAACCGGCGAUUUCCGAAUGGGGAAACCCAGUGUGAUUCGUCACACUAUCAUUAACUGAAUCCAUAGGUUAAUGAGGCGAACCGGGGGAACUGAAACAUCUAAGUACCCCGAGGAAAAGAAAUCAACCGAGAUUCCCCCAGUAGCGGCGAGCGAACGGGGAGGAGCCCAGAGCCUGAAUCAGCAUGUGUGUUAGUGGAAGCGUCUGGAAAGGCGCGCGAUACAGGGUGACAGCCCCGUACACAAAAGCGCAUGUGCUGUGAGCUCGAUGAGUAGGGCGGGACACGUGGUAUCCUGUCUGAAUAUGGGGGGACCAUCCUCCAAGGCUAAAUACUCCUGACUGACCGAUAGUGAACCAGUACCGUGAGGGAAAGGCGAAAAGAACCCCGGCGAGGGGAGUGAAAAAGAACCUGAAACCGUGUACGUACAAGCAGUGGGAGCACCCUUCGGGGUGUGACUGCGUACCUUUUGUAUAAUGGGUCAGCGACUUAUAUUCUGUAGCAAGGUUAACCGUAUAGGGGAGCCGGAGGGAAACCGAGUCUUAAC